CCUACGGGAGGCAGCAGUGAGGAAUAUUGGUCAAUGGGCGGAAGUCUGAACCAGCCAUGCCGCGUGCAGGAAGACGGCUCUAUGAGUUGUAAACUGCGUUUGUACAGGAGUAAACCUGCAUACGUGUAUUCAGCUGCAAGUACUGUACGAAUAAGGAUCGGCUAACUCCGUGCCAGCAGCCGCGGUAAUACGGAGGAUCCAAGCGUUAUCCGGAUUUAUUGGGUGUAAGGGGUGCGUAGGCGGAUUGAUAAGUUAGAGGUGAAAUGUCCGAGCUUAACUCGGGAACUGCAUCUAAUACUGGUGAUCUAGAGAGUAGAUGCGGUAGGCGGAAUGGAUGGUGUAGCGGUGAAAUGCUUAGAGAU
rnacentral:rRNA from 1 species